GACGAACGCUGGCGGCGUGCUUAACACAUGCAAGUCGAACGGAAAGGCCCUGCUUUUGUGGGUUGCUCGAGUGGCGAACGGGUGAGUAACACGUGAGUAACCUGCCCUUGACUUUGGGAUAACUUCAGGAAACUGGGGCUAAUAUCGGAUAGGAUCUCCUGCUGCAUGGUGGGGGUUGGAAAGUUUCGGCGGUUGGGGAUGGACUCGCGGCUUAUCAGCUUGUUUGUGGGGUAGUGGCUUACCGAGGCUUUGACGGGUAGGCGGCCUGAGAGGGUGACCGGCCACAUUGGGCCUGAGAUACGGACCAGAAUCCUACGGGAGGCAGCAGUGGGGAAUAUUGCAGAAUGGGCGGAAGCCUGAUGCAGCAACGCCGCGUGCGGGAUGACGGGCUUUGGGUUGUAAACAGAUUUCGACUGUGACGAAGAGGGAGUGACGGUAAUGGGUAAAGAAGCAACGGCUAACUACGUG
rnacentral:rRNA from 1 species